ensembl:lncRNA
GUUCAGGGGCACUAAAGCUUACAAAAUACUAUUGCAAAAUGUCCGUGGCCAUUUUGAAAUUGUUUGAGAUGUAUUUCAAGUAUUUAAGAUGUAUUUCAAGUAGGAAGAAAUCAAGGCUAUGUAAUUAUUGAUUGUCUCUCCAGAUUCACUGCCCGAGACCAAGUCCAUCAACUUGCAAUGGAGAGGACAAAGUUAGUGCCCCAUGGCGUUUGCAUUCAAAAAGAGAACAAGGAGAUUUUUACUUCUAUCAAUAAAAGAGUCAGGAAUUUAAUGGUGCAUGCUACAUUCAUUAAUAGACAACCUUUGAUAGUAGUUGUGAGAUAUGCAAAAGAGAGAAAUACACGAAGAACUUUAUUUAUUCAUGGGAGUUGAGAAGAAAUUGGCCAGCAGCUGAAUAAAAGAAAAUGAAGUUCCAUUAAUACAAUCCAUCGAAAGACAACUCGGGUAAAUUGAUCAAUGCAGCACAAAUGAUUUCUAACCUUUCCCCUCUUUGGAGAAGAUAUUUGUUUUUUGUUGCUGUUGUUGUGAUUUUUUCCCCUCCCAAAGUAUGUAAACAGCAUACAUCACCAAUUUCAAGUGCUUUCUAGAUGGCUUUUCUAGCAAUAAUUGGAGAAUUUCUUGAACUAAGCAUGGUAAUGGCUUUUCUUCCAUCCCUCUCCUUCAUUGCCCCCUCAUUGCCUUGAAGAAUAUCAAUACACUGAGAAAGUUUGAGGGCUUUUCUUUUCCUCUUUUUUAAACUCUCACUCUUCUUCUUUCUCUACCUCCUCCUUCAAAGAUCUUUUGAAACAUUUGUCAAUUAAAAAACUGAUGCAGCUGUCACUGUGGUAUCUGUGUAUGUAGGAGAAACUUCAUAUUGACUGAAAUGCAGAAGGAUCCCAAAGGCCAGGAGAGGUUUCGUCCUCUGAUAAGUCUUUAACAGCCCUGCACCAGAGCCUGGCCCUUUGCCUCCAAUAGUAAAGGUCUCACUUGCAGUAGUGGCAGCCCUUUUAUUUGAACUUAUAUUAGCCAGAUGUCAUAAACAGAAGAGAGCAUUUGAGAUCUGAAGCUUCAGCUACAAAAGUGCAGCAUCCUUUGCCCAGAGAAAUUAUGCAGGCUGGAAGUCCCAACUUCUGCCUUUUAGGAAAAGUGAAUAUCCUCAGUUGCCAAAGUUGUGAAUGUGGAAGUUUAUAGUAAAAUAAAUCUAUAAACCUUGAAUAUCUGGGGACAUGCAAACAUUUCUUUUCUAACUCAAAAAGAUCUGUAAAAACAUUAAAGAAAACAACAACAAAAAAAAAAAAAAGAAAAACAAAAAAAAACCACCUUUGCACUUGGGAUUUGGCAUCUCCUCACACUAUAAGUGCAAAUAUAAAGCUAUUCUAAUUUUGCUUACUGAGGUAAAAUGCUGUGAUUUGCAUUGAAGCCACAAAGUAACAAUUAGAGUGUGACAGUUAAUGAAACAACAGAAACAAUGCAGCACCUUUUUGAAAAGGAUGUAACCCAUGGUUAUAUAGAAAGCUUUCUACAGUAAUGGUGGGUUUCAAUGAAUGAAAUGGGCCUUCACAUAUGCUGCAUAAUUGUCAAAACAUGAG